CAGGAAUCCUGUGGGGAGAGGCUGGUGCUGGGGGAAGACAGAGGAAUGCCUGGAGAGGACAGAAGUGAGACUACACCUGUUGGUCUGGAUUGCAGCUGGAAUUGGAAGGGAAAUGCAUUUCCAUUGAAGGAAGAAGUGUAACAGUGAGCAGGCAGGUGUCAGCGGAUCUCAAGAGAAUAAUGUCAACUGGACAAUGGCUUAGAGGCAGGAGGAGGCAGAUCAGCUAGGCAGAUGUGCAGAAGUUAAGUGUGGUUUCAUGCAGAAACUUCCAAAUGGAUUCAAGAGCCAAAGCCUUCAAGAAGUUGGUGUCAUUGUCACUUGGAAUAUGUUUG
rnacentral:lncRNA from 1 species